UUUUCGUGCAAAUCUAUUCUUUGUCUUUACUCUAUUUCACUCCACGAAAACCAACCAAAAUCAAAAAUGGGCGCUGAAAAGGUAUCCAUGAACAUCGUUGUCGUUGGACAAGUUCAAUCUUUCAAAGCCAUCAACACAGUCGCCAAGGCCGCACCAGCCACCAAUCAAUUGAUGAACUGUUAAUUCACCAUGUAAGUUCAUAUAUACAAUACAAACUCAAAAAUGCCAUAGCCCAAAACAUUACAAUAAUAUGUAAUUACACUAACAUGUAUGAAAAUUAAUAUGUACAUUGCAAAAUAAAUCAGUCUUC